rnacentral:rRNA from 1 species
UACGUAGGCAGCGAGCGUUGUUCGGAGUUACUGGGCGUAAAGGGUGUGUAGGCGGUUGUUUAAGUUUGGUGUGAAAUCUCCCGGCUCAACUGGGAGGGUGCGCCGAAUACUGAGCGACUAGAGUGCGGGAGAGGAAAGUGGAAUUCCUGGUGUAGCGGUGAAAUGCGUAGAUAUCUGGAGGAAUACCGGUGGCGAAGGCGGCAUCCUGGACCGACAUUGACGCUGAACGGCGAAAGCUAGGGGAGCAAACGGG